rnacentral:rRNA from 1 species
CCUACGGGAGGCAGCAGUGGGGAAUAUUGGACAAUGGGGGAAACCCUGAUCCAGCGACGCCGCGUGAGUGAAGAAGUAUUUCGGUACGUAAAGCUCUAUCAGCAGGAAAGAAAAUGACGGUACCUGUCUAAGAAGCCCCGGAUAACUACGUGCCAGCAGCCGAGGUAAUACGGAGGGGGCAAGCGUUAUCCGGAUUUACUGGGUGUAAAGGGAGCGUAGGCGGCAGCGCAAGUCUGGAGUGAAAUGCCGGGGCUCAAUCCCGGAACUGCUGUGGAUACUGUGAAGCUGGAGUGCAGGAGAGGUAGGCGGAAUUCCUGGUGUAGCGGUGAAAUGCGUAGAUAUCAGGAGGAACACCGGCGGCGAAGGCGGCUUACUGGACUGUAACUGACGUUGAGGCACGAAGGCGUGGGGAGCAAACAGGAUUAGAUACCCUUGUAGUC